GGACUACCAGGGUAUCUAAUCCUGUUUGCUCCCCACGCUUUCGCGUCUCAGUGUCAGUACCGUCCCAGCGAGCUGCCUUCGCCAUCGGUGUUCUUCCUGAUAUCUGCGCAUUUCACCGCUACACCAGGAGUUCCACUCGCCCCUUCCGGACUCUAGCCCGACAGUAUCCACCGGCAUUCCAGGGUUGAGCCCUGGGCUUUCACAGCGGACUGAUCGGGCCACCUACACGCUCUUUACGCCCAAUGAUUCCGGACAACGCUUGCACCCUACGUAUUACCGCGGCUGCUGGCAC
rnacentral:rRNA from 1 species